rnacentral:rRNA from 1 species
CAGUCGCCGCGGGAAUACAGAGGGUGCGAGCGUUAAUCGGAUUUACUGGGCGUAAAGCGUGCGUAGGCGGCUUCUUAAGUCGGAUGUGAAAUCCCUGAGCUUAACUUAGGAAUUGCAUUCGAUACUGGGAAGCUAGAGUAUGGGAGAGGAUGGUAGAAUUCCAGGUGUAGCGGUGAAAUGCGUAGAGAUCUGGAGGAAUACCGAUGGCGAAGGCAGCCAUCUGGCCUAAUACUGACGCUGAGGUACGAAAGCAUGGGGAGCAAACAGGAUUAGAUACCCCCGUAGUCCCUGUCUCUUAUCC